rnacentral:sRNA from 1 species
AGUGUGUAUUCGGCUGCCUGCCUGCCUGCCUGCUUGCUCUCUGGCUGUGCUCUUGCUUAAAGAAAUCAGUCCUUCCUUUCCGACUUAGUCCUCGGGAAGAAGUUUCAGACUACAAGGUAUCACUGGAACAUUUCAAGAUCAUCAAAUCAAAUUCCACAGGGAUUGGUGAUCAACCAGAAGGCUCAGACAUCUGAUUGCUGACCUGUCCAGACAUCAACUGGUCUCCCUGAACCUGAAAUCACACCAUGGAUGAUUUUGAACGUCGCAGAGAACUUAGAAGGCAAAAGAGGGAGGAGAUGCGACUCGAAGCAGAAAGGUAAGGAUCUAGGGUGAAAAAUACUUGUAAUCCCUUAUUAACAACGUUGGUUUCAGGCCUCAAAGACCAUCCUUCUGAAAGGCCAAAUAUGGUCAUAUUGCACACUAAACUGUUUGCAAAAGUAGUUAUGGAAAAUUUUUCUGCUAAGACUCUAAAUUUAGCAUUUAAAAAAGGAAAACAAACAAGAAUCAAGGAAAAGAGAGAUUUGAGAGGAAUCAAUUGAUAAUUGCAUAUUGAUAAUUGCAUUUAAUCAAUACCUUUCACAUUGGAAUGUUUUAAAUGACAAAAGUAAUGUGUGAAUGAAGGUUUAAAAAGCUUAUAUAAUAAGAAAUGACAGAAAAAUGCCAAGUAUUGAAUAUUGGAACCAUUUAGGACAUGAGAGUCUUCAAUCUGAAAAAUAUAAAGGCAAAAAGCCCUGGAUGAAUCUUGUGAAACAU